rnacentral:misc_RNA from 1 species
UUUCCGUAGGUGAACCUGCGGAAGGAUCAUUAAAGAGCAUAUGCUCUUCGGGGUAGAUCUCCCACCCUUUGUUUAUAUUACCUUUGUUGCUUUGGCAGGCCCGUCUUCGGACCACCGGCUUCGGCUGGUCAGUGCUUGCCAGAGGACCCAAAACUCUUAUUAUUAAUGUCGUCUGAGUACUAUAUAAUAGUUAAAACUUUCAACAACGGAUCUCUUGGUUCUG